rnacentral:rRNA from 1 species
UGUCGUAACAAGGUUUCCGUAGGUGAACCUGCGGAAGGAUCAUUGCUAAGAUCGAUUCACUCCCGUGAAUUCGUGUCGUCUUGGGGGGCGCCAAGGGGGGCGAGAGAGAUAUCCAUCUCUCUCGCUUUCCUCGGCCGCCCUCACACACACCCACACACUCCAAACACACAACACACACUGAAGCCGAGUAGGCGGCGCGGGAGCUCACGCUCUUCGCGGACGCCGAUCCACAUUGAUAACUCUCAACAACGGAUAUCUUGGCUCUCGCAACGAUGAAGAACGCAGCUAGAUGCGAUACGUAAUGCGAUCUGCAAACAGUACGCGAGUCAUCAAAUUUUUGAACGCACAUUGCGCUCGAGGCUUCGGCCGAGAGCAUGUCUGCCUGAGCGUCAACCGAAACCCUCAUCUCCCAACUUCGGUUGGGGAGCAUGGACCUGGCCGUCCCGGAACUUCGUCGUCGAAGGUCCGGGUCGGCUGAAGCGCAGAGGCGCGGGCGUCUAGGGCCUUUCCGCGAAAGCGAAAGGCCUGCUCGGAACCGGCGUGGUAAGUUCCUUCGGAACCUCUUCCGCCGGGCUCCUGUGGGCGCAUCGCGGCCCGCCCUCCCAUUCGGGAGGGCGACCCAUCUCUUUACUUCCGACCUCAGAUCAGUCAAGGCUACCCGCCGAAUUUAAGCAUAUUACUAAGCGGAGGAAAAGAAACUAACAAGGAUUCCCCUAGUAACGGCGAGUGAACCGGGAAGAGCCCAACUUGAAAAUCCAUAGGCAGCGCCUAUCGAAUUGUAGUCUAGAGAGGCUGCCUCUGUUGCGCCUACGGCCCAAGUUCCCUGGAAUGGGACGCCUGAGAGGGUGAGAGCCCCGUCGGCCGGACCGCGCACCUCCACGAGGCGCUUUCGUCGAGUCGCGUUGUUUGGGAAUGCAGCGUUAAUUGGGAGGUAAAUUCCUUCUAAGGCUAAAUACUGGCGAGAGACCGAUAGCGAACAAGUACUGCGAAGGAAAGAUGAAAAGGACUUUGAAAAGAGAGUUAAAUAGUACUUGAAAUUGUUGAGGGGGAAGCGGUUGGAAGUCGGGGUGCCCCGCUGCGUUAGGUCUUCUUACCGGGAGGCUCAUUCGUUAGCGGGGCCGGUCAGCGCGGGUUGGCGGGGCGGUACAAUCUUGCCGCCUCGUCGACUCCCGCUGGCGGAAGGCUUCCCACCGACCCGUCUAGAAACACGGACCAAGGCGUCUAACAUGUAUGCGAGUCGGCGGGUGGAAAACCCGUAGGCGCAAGGAAACUGACUGAACAGCAUCCACCGACCAUGAUCUUCUGUGAAAGGUUUGAGUGCGAGCAUACCUGUUGGGACCCGAAAGAUGGUGAACUAUGCGUGA